GGGGCUAACAUCGCGGGGCUGGCUUUCCAUUUCGCAGACACGCGUGCCGUGCCCCCGAUUCCUGACCUCCCCCGACACUCCCACAGAGCCACCUUCCCACCUAGCCACCGAGCCACAGCCAUCAAAUCAAACACGAAAAUCAAAUUUGUUAACAGCGUUCAAGUGGCACAAAACAUACAACACUGAGAGCGGCAAAAGGGAGGCAGGGGCUGGCCCAGGAUUCUCCUACCUGACAUAAAUUGUUACUGUUGUUGCUGUUGGUGCUGCUACCAUUAAAAUAAACCGCUAAGAGGGCAACAUUUCGGCACGCUCCGGGCCAAGUCGAGUGCUCCUCGCCAGCUCCUUUGCAUACGAAAGGCCAAGAAAUCGUUGAGAAAUCAGUGGAGGAUGUGGUGCGGCGCGGACAGGGCUGGGGGUGUGGGUGUGGCAAGCACCCACUCGAUAAGCGACCGGAAAUGGCUGUUUGCUGGCAAAUUGGUUGCACGGCUGGCUCGCAACAAAACCGUAUAUAAUUUUUGCACUUAGCCCAGCUCGUACUCGCAUUUUGUAUCGUACUCGAGUUUUGCCCACUUGCCACAUUCAAUUAGCCACGAAAGCGGCACAAAGCACAGUUGGUUGCCAGUUGUUGCCGCCAGUGGCUGCUGCAGCCAUAAAGCGGUGAUUUCUAAUUUCGAUCUGUCAAACGCAAAGACCCAAGAUCGAUGGCAACCGAUAAAAAAAUGUAUAGAAAAAGAACGGAGCAGAACGGAGCAGCGAAAACUUAAUUGGCCAGACUGUCCGCCCCUAUACCAAGGUUGGCCUUCAUCCGGAAGAUUGUCAGAGACCACAAGACAAAAGACCUUUUUUGUGGGGUCCUAGGUCGGAGGUGUAAGGGCAAACAGCAUUUGAGUGCUUGCUUCAUUUGGCCCAGGUCUGCCUGCUUCCAGCCCCAGGCGCUUCCGGGUGCGGUCGGUCUGCCCCGGAUCGACCCCAGCACGGGAUCUGGAUAAAGCCAUGAAGAAGGAGCCAGGGUCCUGCCUGGCACGAGUAUUCAGUGGAGGGCCAGGCAGGACGGACCGGACCGGGCCGUGCCGGGCUGGGCGGGGUCGGGAUGUAGGAGCUACUUAGCAAACAUCAACACCUGUUAAGAGUUACACUCGAGAACAAAGCUGCAAAUUGGCUGGCGGACGCAAGCAACGAGAGAGACAGCUAUAUAAGGAGAGAGAGAACGAAAACGGGAACGGGACAGGGAGAGAGAGCUAUGACGAUGGAAAUUUUGCUGACCGCAGGCAAUGGCGAUGUUCCGGGCCAUGACGACGCCAUGGUAAUGGUAGCACAAAGCACGCCAAGGAAGGACGGGGGGCCUUAAACUUCAUUAUGAGAUUUGUGUAAUUGUUAACCAAUUUACCGUUACGUUUUGCAUGCCACAAGCCACAGCAGCAGCAGCAGCAACAAAUCCAUUCCAACUGUGCUGCCACUCGCCCUUCAAGACGAUAACGCUCGUGAUAUAUUGUCCACAUUAUAAUACCGGAAAUGUUAUUAAUUCAAAAUUCUGCUCAAUUUCGUGCACUUUGUAGGCUGUUGCUGCUUUAGCUUCACGCUGCAGAUGUAGAUGUCGAUUUAAGGAUUGGGCAAACUGCUUCAAACAGCUCAGAUCGUGGUAUUUGUAAUUGGGCUUGUAUCUGCACCGUAUAGAUGUAGCAAUAUAUAUGUAUGUAUAUAUUUUCCAGUGUGCAGUUGCACCUAUCGGCGGUUGCAACUAAAUGAACGAAAUGAUCAGGCAUCCAGAGAAAUCCGCUGAAGCCGACGGCACAGUAGGACAUGCCGGGAAAAGGGAGACUUUUGGUGGAAAAUAUUUUGAAUAGAAACAAAGAUGGCCUAAGAUAUUCCAUUUGCCAACAGUUAGUAGUGAGUUUCCUUAAUAUGAGAAAAUUUGAUUGGGUUUAUAAAAAGUUACUUCCUUAAUGCACCACAUCCCAACAACUGGGGAUCAAGUUAACCAUUAGAUCAAUUAGUUAUAACCAUGCAAAUGAAGCAGUAAAAGGACUACACCCUCAAAAAUUAUCUUAUUCAAUUAAACUCUUAAAAUACGAAGUAUGUAGUAAAACUAAAAAAAAACUCAGUUA
rnacentral:sRNA from 1 species